rnacentral:tRNA from 1 species
GGGCGGUUAGCUCAGAGGUAGAGCGCCUGCCUUACAAGCAGGAUGUCAGUGGUUCGAAUCCACUAUCGCCCACCA